GAUGAACGCUGGCGGCGUGCUUAACACAUGCAAGUCGAACGGAAAGGCUCCUGCUUGCAGGGGUACUCGAGUGGCGAACGGGUGAGUAACACGUGGGUGAUCUGCCCUGCACUUCGGGAUAAGCCUGGGAAACUGGGUCUAAUACCGGAUAGGACGAUGGUUUGGAUGCCAUUGUGGAAAGUUUUUUCGGUGUGGGAUGAGCUCGCGGCCUAUCAGCUUGUUGGUGGGGUAAUGGCCUACCAAGGCGUCGACGGGUAGCCGGCCUGAGAGGGUGUACGGCCACAUUGGGACUGAGAUACGACCCAGACUCCUACGGGAGGCAGCAGUGGGGAAUAUUGCACAAUGGGCGCAAGCCUGAUGCAGCGACGCCGCGUGGGGGAUGACGGCCUUCGGGUUGUAAACUCCUUUCGCUAGGGACGAAGCGCAAGUGACGGUACCUGGAGAAGAAGCACCGGCUAACUACGUG
rnacentral:rRNA from 1 species